UACGUAGGGUGCAAGCGUUGUCCGGAAUUAUUGGGCGUAAAGGGCUCGUAGGCGGUCUGUCGCGUCGGGAGUGAAAACUCAGGGCUUAACCCUGAGCCUGCUUCCGAUACGGGCAGACUAGAGGUAUGUAGGGGAGAACGGAAUUCCUGGUGUAGCGGUGAAAUGCGCAGAUAUCAGGAGGAACACCGGUGGCGAAGGCGGUUCUCUGGGCAUUACCUGACGCUGAGGAGCGAAAGUGUGGGGAGCGAACAGG
rnacentral:rRNA from 1 species